UUUAGAUUCUGAAAUAUGAGCGCCGAGCGGAGCGAUGUUUUUUUUAAAUUUGUAACAAUGUUGCCAGUGCUGCAGCCGAUGACCGAUGAUCAAAUUUUAGUGCACAUUAACAAAUAAUCAAGCAAAAUGUCUAAGAAGGGUGUGUACAGGCAAAUAUAUGUCACUAUAGUCGAUUUUAGAAUAAGUGCAAAUAAGUGCCAUUGACAUUGCUGUGGAUCACGUUAUUUGAUGUACGUCCGACGUCGUGGUCGUACGAUAGUCAAACGACAAAUGAGUAGCGACCAAGUCAAUAUUCAUCAG